GGGCACGGGGGGAGGAAAGCAGGGGAUCGUAAGACCUUGCGCUAUUGGAUGAGCCGAAGUCGGAUUAGCUAGUUGGUGAGGUAACGGCUCACCAAGGCGACAAUCCGUAGCUGGUCUGAGAGGACGACCAGCCACACUGGGACUGAGACACGGCCCAGACUCCUACGGGAGGCAGCAGUGGGGAAUAUUGGACAAUGGGGGCAACCCUGAUCCAGCGACGCCGCGUGUGUGAAGAAGGCCUGCGGGUUGUAAAGCACUUUUAGUGGGGAUGAAAAGCUCAGGGCUAAUACCUCUGGGUCUUGACCUAACCUACAGAAAAAGCACCGGCUAACUCUGUGCCAGCAGCCGCGGUAAUACAGAGGGUGCGAGCGUUAAUCGGAAUUACUGGGCGUAAAGCGUGCGUAGACGGUUUCGUAAGUCG
rnacentral:rRNA from 1 species